GUGCUUGCUUCGGUAGCAUAUUUACUAAAGUUGGGACAAUACAGAGAUUAGCAAGGCCCCUGUGCAAGGAUGACAUGUAAAUUCUAAAGCAUUCCAUAUUUUU
ensembl:snRNA U6 U6 spliceosomal RNA